UGCGCGUGCGCAGCCUGAAGACGCGCUGACGCGGUCUUUAAGCGCCAGCGAGCACCGGGGAAGAUGGCGGAACGCAGUCAUAAGUCCGUGCUAUUCGUGUGUCUGGGUAACAUUUGCCGGUCACCCAUUGCAGAAGCAGUUUUCAGAAAACUUGUAGCUGACCAAAAUGUUUCAGAUGAUUGGAGGAUAGACAGUGCGGCCACAUCCACAUACGAAGUGGGAAAUCCCCCUGACUAUCGAGGGCAGAGCUGCAUGAGGAAGCAUGGCAUCCCCAUGAGUCACACUGCCCGGCAGGUACCGUACCGGAGCUUGACCUUUGUUUUUUCUUACAGUGGGCCAUUGACAGCGGUGCUGUUUCCGACUGGAACGUGGGCCGUGCCCCAGACCCAAGAGCUAUGAGCUGCCUAAGAAAUCAUGACAUUAGCACAGCCCAUAAGGCAAGACAGUUACAAAGCUGAAUACUUUCUGGGGAGAGAGUGUGUCCUGUAAGGCCGAGUCAUGCCCCAGGAGCACAUUCAUAGCUUUGAAGAUGAAUUUUGAUUUCUGUGUGUUUUUUGGUUGUUUUUGAUAAUGGGGCUGAUUUGCAGAAGCUACUUCCUGUCUAGCUGUAGCAGAAAUGCUUCACUGUGCAUUUUUGUAAGAUGUUACCAAAGAAGACUUUGCUACAUUCGAUUACAUACUGUGUAUGGAUGAAAGCAAUCUGAGAGAUUUGAAUAGAAAAAGUAAUCAAGU